GCGGCUGAUUAGAUAGUUGGCGGGGUAACGGCCCACCAAGUCUACGAUCAGUAGCUGAUGUGAGAGCAUGAUCAGCCACACGGGCACUGAGACACGGCCCAGACUCCUACGGGAGGCAGCAGUGGGGAAUCUUCCGCAAUGGACGAAAGUCUGACGGAGCAACGCCGCGUGUAUGAUGAAGGUCUUCGGAUUGUAAAGUACUGUCUUUGGGGAAGAACGAGUGGUUUGAAAAUAUUGAGCUACUAUGACGGUACCCAAGGAGGAAGCCCCGGCUAACUACGUGCCAGCAGCCGCGGUAAUACGUAGGGGGCACGCGUUGUCCGGAAUUAUUGGGCGUAAAGGGCGCGUAGGCGGGUAUUUAAGUCCGGUGUGAAAGAUCAGGGCUCAACCCUGAGAGUGCAUCGGAAACUGGGUAUCUUGAGGACAGGAGAGGAAAGUGGAAUUCCACGUGUAGCGGUGAAAUGCGUAGAUAUGUGGAGGAACACCAGUGGCGAAGGCGACUUUCUGGACUGUAACUGACGCUGAGGCGCGAAAGCGUGGGGAAGCAACAGGAUUAGAUACCCUGGUAGUCCACGCCGUAAACGAUGAGUGCUAGGUGUAGAGGGUAUCGACCCCUUCUGUGC
rnacentral:rRNA from 1 species